rnacentral:ncRNA from 1 species
UAAAAAGCAUUGACAAGAAAAGUAAAUAGGUGGAGCCUUCACAGAGAGACUGUAGCUGGUGGAAGCAGUUAAGGAAAAGCCUAUUGAAAAUGGUCUUCGAGUUGACCGCAUCGAGAUUGAGAUGGGUUCGGGUUCUCCCGUUAUAGAGAGCGAGUAUGAUGGUACUCACAGAGUUAUUAAUCGUGAGAUUGAUAAAAAUAUAGGUGGUAACGCGAGAGAUCUCGUCCUUUGA